ensembl:lncRNA
AUAGCUAGCUUGGGGCGCGAGAGCUGCGGCGGCGGCGUCCGCCUCCUGAGCGAGCGGGGUGUCUGAGAAGAGGGAAGCAGGGACUCACGGAAGGGGAAGAGAAGCUGGAAUGUCAAACAUCGAAAAGUAGCAACUGUGUAGGAAGUGUUUUCCUCCUAAGCUUCGGAUUCUAUGUCUCCUACCUCUCCAAGUCUACUGGUUUAUGCAGAUGAUGUUCCUGUCACCACGGCUGGAUGAUGGCAGCUGUAACCCAUUGACCUUUCUAAGCAAACAUGCUAGAAUGCUUGAAGAACCACAACUGCCACUUUCAGGACAGCAGCACACUCUGGAUAGCUAAAGCUUUGACUUCUUUUCUAAUAUGAUAUGGUUUCAUUUAUUCAGAAUAAAGGAAAAGGAACCCAAACAAGCCCCACAAACCUAAGGCAAAAGCAGCCAAGGCUCAACGAAUGCAAGGCCUCUGGGCAAAGGCGGCAGCAGCAGCCAGGCAAGGAGAGAAAGGAGAAGGAGAGGAUGAAGAAGAGGCGGGGAGCACCAGCUAUUUGGCUGUCACAACUGCAACUUAUUUUUUUUAUUUAACAUUGUUUUUAAUUUUUAAAUGACCCACAUAUUAGUCAUAGUUGCUUUCAUUUAUAUCCUAAUCAUUACUUUCAUUAUUUGAAGAUUCAUUUUUUAAUUUGUUUUUUAUUAAAGUAUAAUUGAUUUACAAUGUUGUGCCAAUUUCUGACUCAGUGUCACUGCUAUAUUAUACAUUCUUUUUUUAGAUUCUUUUCAAUUGUGGUCUAUCCCAGCAGAUUGGAUAUAGUUCUGUGUUAUACAGUAGGAUCUUGUUGUUUAUCCAUUCUAAAUGUAAUAGUUUGCAUCUACUAACCCCAAACCCCUAGUCUAUUCCACUCACUUGCCCCUCUCCCCUGGCAACCACAAGUCUGUUCCCUGUGCCUUUGAGUCUGUCUCUGUUCUGUAGAUAGGUUCAUUUGUGCCAUAUUUUAGAUUCAUAUUUUAGAUAAAUGAUAUCAUAUGGUAUUUGUCCUUCUCUUUCAGACUUAGUUCACUUUGUAUAAUAAUCUCUAAUUGCAUCUAUGUUGUUGCAAAUAGCAUUGUUUCAUUCUUUUUUGUGGCUGAGUAGUAUUCCAUUAUAUAUAUGUACCACAUCUUCUUAAUCCAUUCAUCUGUCUAUGGACAUUUAGGUUGGUUCCAUGUCUUGGCUAUUGUAGUAGUGCUGCUGUGGAUAUAGGAAUGCAAGUAUCUUUUUAAAUUAUAGUUUUGUCCAGAUAUAUGCCCAGAAGUGGGCUAGAUCAUAUGGUAAUUCUAUUUUUAGUUUUCUGAGGAAUCUCCAUACUGUUUUCCAUAGUAGGCGUACCAACUUCUUUUCUCAUCAACAGUGCAGGAUAGUUCCCUUUCUCUACACCCCCUCCAGCAUUUGUUAUUUAUAGAUUUAUUAAUGAUGACCGUUCUGACUGGUGUGAGGAGAUACCUCACUGUAGUUUUAAUUUGCAUUUCUCUAAUAAUUAGUGAUGUUGAGCCUCUGUUCAUGUUCCUACCAGCCAUCCAUUUGUCUUUGGAGAAAUGUCUGUUUAGGUCCUCUGCCCAUUUUCAGUUGGGUUGUUUGGUUUUUGGUUUUUGAGUUAUUUGCAUAUUUUGGAGAUUAAGCCCUUGUUGGUUGCAUCAUUUGCAAAUAUUUCUUCUGUAUGUUUUUUCCUUUGCUAUGCAAAAGCUUGUAAAUUUUAGUGGGUCCCAUUUGUUUAUUUUUGUUUUUAUUUCUGUUGCCUUAGGAGACUGACCUAAGAAAGCAUUUGCACAGUUUAUGUCAGAGAAUGUUUUGCCUUUGUUCUCUUCUAGGGGUUUUAUGGUGUCAUACCUUAUGUUUAAGUCUUUGAGCCAUUUUGAGUUUGUUUUUUGUGCAUGGUGUGAGGAGGGUGUGUUCUAACUUCAUUUAUUUACAGGCAGUUCAGUUUUACCAGCAACACUUGCUGAAGAGACUGUCUUUUUCCCAUUUUAUAUUUUUGCCUCUUUUGUUGAAUUGACCAUUGUUGACCAUUAAUUGACCAUUGUUGUUGGCUUUAUUUCUGGACUUUCCAUUCUGUUCCAUUGAUCUAUAUGUCUGUUUUGUGCCAGUACUACACUGUUUUGAUUACUGUAGCUUUGUAGUAUUGUCUGAAGUCUGGGAGAUUUAUGCCUCCUGCUUUGUUCUUUUUCCUGAGGAUUGCUUUUGCAAUUCUGGGUCUUUUAUGGUUCCAUAUAUAUUUUUGGAUUAUCUGUUCUGGUUCUGUGAAAAAUGUCAUGGGUAAUUUGAUAGGGAUCACCUUAAAUCUAUAGAUUGCUUUAUAGUAUGUAUAUUUUAACUAUUAAUUCUUGUAAUCCAAGAGCAUGGGAUAUCCUUCCAUUUCUUUGAAUCCUUUUUAAUUUCCUUUAUUAAUGUAUUAUAGUUCUCAGUGUAUAAGUCUUUCACCUCUAUACUCAGGUUUAUUAUUAGAUAUUUUAUUUUGUUGUGAUUUUAAAAGCCAUUAUUUUUUAUUUUACAUUCUCUUUAAUCAGAAAUAAAAUUUCUGAUAUUUCAUUGUUAGUAUACAGAAAUGCAACCAAUUUCUGAAUGUUAAUCUUGUAUCCUGCUGUUCCUUUGUUGAAUUUUUCAGAUCUAAGAGUUUUUGUGUGGAGUCCUUAGGGUUUUCUGUAUAUAGUAUCAUGUCAUCUGCAUAUAGUGACAAUUUUACCUCUUCCCUUCCAAUUUGGAUAUCUUUCAUUUCUUUCUCUUGUCUAACUUCUAUAGCCAGGACUUCUAAUACUAUGUUUAAUAAAAGUGGUGACAGUGGGCAUCCUUGAGAACACAGCUUAUUUGUGAAUGCACAGGAAAUAUUCACCAAGAUACAUCAUAUGUUUAGCCAUAAAAGAAGUUCCAAUAAAUGUAAAAUAAUCAAAGUCAUAUGGCAUGUAUUCUGUGAACAUAAUGAAAUUAAUUUAGAAAAUAAUAACAAAAUCAUCUGUAAAUAAAUACUUAAAUAUUUGAGAAUUAAACUACACAGUUCUAUAUAACCCACGGUUUGGUGAGUAGCAUGGUAAAUUAGAAAACAACACUGAACUAAAUGAAAUGGAAUUAUUUUAAAAUUAUAAUGAAAAUAAUACUUCUAAACUUGUAGGGUGUAACUAAAGUAAUUCUUGGAGUUUCUGUUGUGGCACAGCAGAAACGACUCUGACUAGUAUCCUUGAGGAUGUGGGUUCGAUCUCUGCCCUCGAUCAAGGGGUCCGGGAUCCUGCAUUGCCCGUGAGCUGUUGUGUAGGUCACAGACGCGGCUCAGAUCUCCGAUUGCUGUGGCUAUGGCAAGGCCAGCAGUUGUAUCUCCAAUUUGACCCCUAGCCCGGGAAUGUCCGUAUGCCGCAAGUACGGCCCACAGGCAAAAAAAUAAAUAAAUAAAGUAAUUCUUACAGGGAAAUUUAUGGUGCUAGUAUUAGAAAAGAGGAAAUAUUUAAAAAUCAAAUGACCUAGAGUUCCCAUUGUGGCACAGUGGAAACGAAUCCAACUAAUAUCAUGAGGAUGAGAAUUCGAUCCCUGGCCUCGCUCAGUGGGUUGGGGAUCCAGCAUUAUCAUGAGCUGUGGGGUAGGUCACAGAUGUGGCUCAAAUCCCACAUUGCUGUGGCUGUGGUAUAGGCCAGCAGCUGUAGCUCUGAUUCAACCCCUAGCCUGGGAACUUCCAUAUGCCAUGGGUGUGGCCCUAAAAAGCAAAAAAUAAAAUUAAAUAUUAAAUAAAAAUCAAUGAUCUUAAGCUUAUAUUUUAAAAAGUUAAAAAAAAAGUUAAACCCAAAAGUAAAAAGAAUGAAAUAAGGAAUAGAAUAAUGAAUAAAAAUAAAUGAUAUAAUAAUUGAACCAAGAGCUAGUUCAUUGAAAAGAUCAAUAAAAUUGUUGCUAGACUGAUCACACACACACACACAAAUGAAAGAAGACAAAAAUUGCCAAAAAAAGACAAAAAUCAAACAGGAGAAAACUCUAUGGAGCCCACAUGCAUUAGAAGAAUAAUAAGGACCUGUUUUUUUGAAAACUGUGCUACUUAGAUACAACUGAAAAUUCUUGAAAGACUAAAUUAACAAAACUGGCAUAGAAGGUGAAAGAAAACAUGAAUAGCUCUCCUAUUUGAAAAAAUGAAAUUGAUUAUUUAAAAACUUCCCACAAAGAAAAGACAAGCCCCACAUGGUUGGACUGGUAGAUUCAAACAAGUAUUAAAGGGAAAGCUUCGCUAAUCUUAUACAAGGUCCUUCUGAAAAUAGUGAUAAUGAAACACUUGCAACUCAUUUUAUGAUGCCAAAUUAUCUUAAUACCCUAAAACCAGACAGGGACUAUAAGUAAACAGAACUACAGACAAAUAUUCCUCAGAAAAUAGAUGCAAAAAUCCUUAUCAUAAUAUUAUAAAUCGAAUCCAGCAAUGCAUAAAAAUGACAUUUUAUUAGCAAGUAAAAUUUAUUCUAGAAAUGCAAUAUUGAUUUAAUUUUUAUAAGCAGCAGAUAUUUAACUUGAAAUGGGUCUUAAACCUUAAACAUAAACACUGAAACAUAAAACUUCUGGAAGAAAACCUAGAAGAAAAUCUUCCCAGAACUGGAGUAGAAAACAGUUUUUGGGAUAAAACACCAAAAUUCUCAUGAUGAGCAGUUAGUUCAUGGGUUAAGAAUCUGAUUGCAGUGGCUUGGAUAGCUGCAGAGGUGAAGGUUUCAUUCCUAGCCUGAAGGAUCCAGCACUGCCACAGCAGUAGCAUAGUAUUCAAUCCUGGCCUGGGACAUGGGUGCAUUGAAAAAAAAGUUCCCAUCGUGAAAUAAAAAAGUGGUAAAUUUAUUUUAUCAAAAUAAAGAUUUCUGUUCUUUUUAAAAGUGCUCUUGUAAAUUUUAUAGUUAAAUAAAUUAUUUAAUAUGUAAAAUAUAUUUUAUGAGGUAAGAAGUUAAAGUGAUUGGGGAACUGGUUUCAAAGGUUAUUGAGAGAGGGAGCAAGUGAGUUCUGAGAUGUAACUGUUUAGACAUAAAUUGCAGACACCAAUGAGAGCAUCCUGACUCGGCUGACAUCCCAAAGUAAUGCUCAAUGCCAGGAAAUCUUGGCAUCUUUUAAAACCCUAUUUGGCAGAGUAAGACCACACUUUAUCCUAAGACAGAGUAUGAGAGCAGAUCUAUGUUUUAAGACUAGUUUGAAAUCUACCAAUACUCUUUUAAAAAAAUAAUUUAUCAUUCUGACUUUCCUACUUUUUUUUCUCUUUUCCAGCUUUUUCUUAACUAUUAGCUGUUGGUUUACAAUGUUCACCCAAUUUACCCUUACUUAAUUGUUUUUCCUGCUUUGAUGUUUUUUCUUGCUUAAAGCACCUGCAGGAGUGCUGAAAGAUCUCAUGGUGAUAACUACCCCUCUUCUUUCCUUCUGUUCUUCACCCUCAGGAUUGUUUUAUUAUCCCUUUUCUAGGUGUAAAUCUGUAUUACAGUGUGUUUUGUUUUGACACAGUUAUAGUCUUGGUUCCUUUUGGAGUGGCUUUAAUAAAUGAGUUACUGUUUUUUAGAUUUUGCAACAGUAUAUUUUAUUUUUCUAAUUUUAUUGAUAUAAUUGACAUAUAGCACUGGAUACACUUAAGGUGUACAGCAUAAUGAUUUGACUUAACAUACUUGUGAAAUGAUUAGCACAAUAUGUUUAGCUCCAUCAUCUCAUAUAG